GCGCGAAAACUUUACAAUGCUGGCAACAGCGAUAAGGGAACCUCGAGUGCCGGGUUACAAAUCUGGCUGUCGAGAUGCCUAAAAAGCAUUUCAUAGCAAGGGCCGGGCAAGACCGGUGCCAGCCGCCGCGGUAACACCGGCGGCUCGAGUGGUAACCGUUAUUAUUGGGUCUAAAGGGUCUGUAGCCGGCCGGAUAAGUCUCUUGAGAAAUCUGGCAGCUUAACUGUCAGGCUUUCAGGAGAUACUGUCUGGCUCGAGGCCGGGAGAGGUGAGAGGUACUUCAGGGGUAGGGGUGAAAUCUUGUAAUCCUUGAAGGACCACCAGUGGCGAAGGCGUCUCACCAGAACGGACCUGACGGCAAGAGACGAAAGCUAGGGGCACGAACCG
rnacentral:rRNA from 1 species